CCUACGGGAGGCCGCAGUGCGGAAUAUUGGUCAAUGGGCGCGAGCCUGAACCAGCCAAGUAGCGUGAAGGAUGACUGCCCUACGGGUUGUACACUUCUUUUAUAAAGGAAUAAAGUGAGGCACGUGUGCCUUUUUGUAUUUACUUUAUGAAUAAGGAUCUGCUAACUCCGUGCCCGCAGCCGCGGUCAUACGGCGGAUCCGAGCGUUAUCCGGAUUUCUUGGGUUUAAAGGGAGCGUAGAUGGGUUGUUAAGUCAGUUGUGAAAGUUUGCGGCUCAACCGUAAAAUUGCAAUUGAGACUGGCAGUCUUGAGUACAGUUGAGGUAGGCGGAAUUCGUGGUGUAGCGGUGAAAUGCUUAGAUAGCACGAAGAACUCCGAUUGCGAAGGCAGCUUACUAAACUGCCACUGACAUUGAUGCUCGAAAGUGUGGGUAUCAAACAGGAUUAGAUACCCGGGUAGUC
rnacentral:rRNA from 1 species